UUGUCAGAAUAUAGAGCUGAGGAAACAGUGUUGAGAUUUGGAAAUGAUGUUGAGAGUAACGAUAAUUUCACUAAGAUUCAACAUGAAUUUGGUUCUGCUAGAAGGAGCUUUCUCAAGAUUCCAGAAGCACUCAAUCUUAUGCCUAAAAUGAAUCCUGAAGGUAUAUAUGUGAAUAAGAAUCUUCGAUUGGACAAUAUACAAGUCUAUGGUUUUGAUUAUGACUAUACAUUGCAAAAGACCGCAUUGUAAAUGAGUUUAUCAGUUUAAAUACGAUCGUCUUUUCCAUUUAGAGGACUGUAUUAUGAUAAGCUAAAGGGGUGUCUCUUGAAGUUGUAUUUUAUUGGGUCUAUUGAGCUUGACGGAUGCUUCUUUGGUUGUUGAAAGCUUAGCCUAAAGGAAAUAGAGAGAUGUAUGGGACACGGCAUAUUGGGCGAGGUCAAGCUCGUGGACUUGUUGGAUUGAGGUUGGUAUUCGCCAUUCUUUGCUUUUUAAAUAGUUUUUCCCUUUGAGUGUUCUGUACUCUAUGUAUUUCAUAAAUCUUAUCACUUCCAAUUUUCCAUGUCAUAUUCGUAUU